UUUAAAUUUAGAGUUUGAUCCUGGCUCAGGACGAACGCUGGCGGCGUGCUUAACACAUGCAAGUCGAGCGAUGAAACUUCCUUCGGAAAGUGGAUUAGCGGCGGACGGGUGAGUAACACGUGGGUAACCUGCCUCAAAGUGGGGGAUAGCCUUCCGAAAGGAAGAUUAAUACCGCAUAAUAUAAGAGAAUCGCAUGAUUUUCUUAUCAAAGAUUU
rnacentral:rRNA from 1 species